rnacentral:misc_RNA from 1 species
UCCGGCUUAUCACCGGCGGUUUCCUUAGAGUGCCCAACUGAAUGGUAGCAACUAAGGACGAGGGUUGCGCUCGUUGCGGGACUUAACCCAACAUCUCACGACACGAGCUGACGACAGCCAUGCAGCACCUGUGUGCUAGCCAGCCUAACUGAAGGAAUCCAUCUCUGGUGCCCAUACGGGACAUGUCAAAGGUUGGUAAGGUUCUUCGCGUUGCUUCGAAUUGAACCACAUGCUCCACCGCUUGUGCGGGCCCCCAUCAAUUCCUUUGAGUUUUAAUCUUGCGACCGUACUCCCCAGGCGGGAUGCUUAAUGCGUUAGCUGCGCCACUGACAGGCAAGCCUGCCAACGGCUAGCAUCCAUCGUUUACGGCGUGGACUAC